CCAAGAGAAAUCUACAGGAUCUGCUCUCUCUCUCUGAAUAGAGUAGAUGAUGUUUACACCACAGUAAACCAUGACGUCUGGUCUGGGCCACCGUGUGGCAUCACCACCACCAGCAGAUUAAACAGAUCAGUGUCUGUCUUCACCUGUCAAUCACAGACGCAUGGCACCCUAUUCCCUACAUAGUGCACUACUUUAGACCAGGUCCUUGACACCCUAUUCCCUACACAGUGCACUACUUUAGACCAGGUCCUUGACACCCUAUUCCCUACAUAGUGCACUACGUUAGACCAGGUCCUUGACACCCUAUUCCCUACAUAGUGCACUACGUUAGACCAGGUCCUUGGCACCCUAUUCCCUACACAGUGCACUACUUUAGACCAGGUCCUUGGCACCCUAUUCCCUACACAGUGCACUACUUUAGACCAGGUCCUUGACACCCUAUUCCCUACACAGUGCACUACUUUAGACCAGGUCCUUGACACCCUAUUCCCUACAUAGUGCACUACUUUAGACCAGGUCCUUGACACCCUAUUCCCUACAUAGUGCACUACUUUAGACCUGGGUCCUGGUCCUGGGUGCCAUUUUGGGAUGCACUCUUAGUGACCUUCAGUACGAGAGCAGUUGAGGUCAGAAUGAAGUUGUUUAGCUUCACGUCCACCACACUAAGGGGCUCAGAUUACGGGGUUGCCAGGGGAUUCCAAUAUCACAAGGUAAAAGAACACUGCACACUGAUGCUCCUGUGUGGUUUAUUGAAACAAUGUGAGGACUGGGAACACACUGUAACGAGACUCCCAUUAGUGACCAUCAGAGACAUUUAGAGUUGGGACGUUGACGUAGCAUUUACACGACACCACAAUAUUCUAAAGGCGGCCAUGUUGGUUCCCCAUUAACAUUUCCCCACAGGGAAUAUUUAAACACGAUGCUAUAUAACUGGAUGUCUAGAAUUUAGAACAAUGUUCAAAGAGUUCUUUAAAAGCUGGCUGAGCUUUUCUAAAUAUAUGGCUCUGCUGUCCACUUCAUUCAUCGCCCUUUGACCUCUUCCUACUGCGCAGCACCCUGACUGUGUGAUCUAUCCAGGUCACGGCAGUGGCACCGCUGUCAGGGUACAUUGUGUUCUACCCCAAGCUAGGCUGCGGGCCAAUCUGCUUCUGCUCUACUGCCGAUGACUCCUGGAGUUGUCAUGCCAACAAUGACAACUGAGGAGCAGGCCAAAUCUCAACCAGAUCUGGGGACCAGGCUGACGCCAAGCGGAGGUGGAACUCACAACGUUGGACCUAAUGGGCAACAUCACUCGUCACUCGUAGUCAACCGCCAACAGUCUUCGCCAACAGAGCAAGAGAUUAGUCUGUCUCUCCAUGACAGUUGGCUUUACAUCUCAGUGAAGGUCACUGAUGUACUCCAGCCAACAUGCAACAACAGUGGUCCCCAAUCCUGGUCUUAGGAACCCAAAGGAGUUUCCCCCUGAGCACUAAUACACUUCAUUCAGCUAAUCAACAAGCUUUUUAUUAUUUCGAUCAGGUGUGUAGUUAUGGUGAGCCUUCACUCUGCCGACUACUACACCAUGUUAUUGUUAUGGUGAGCCUUCACUCUGCAGACUACUACACCAUGUUAUGGUGAGCCUUCACUCUGCUGACUACUACACCAUGUUAUGGUGAGCCUUCACUCUGCUGACUACUACACCA